UCGGGCGUGUGUGUCAGGU
rnacentral:snRNA from 1 species